AUUGAACGCUGGCGGCGUGCUUAACACAUGCAAGUCGAUCGGUAACGCGGGGGCAACCCUGGCGACGAGAGGCGGACGGGUGAGGAACGCUUGGGAAUCCGCCUAUCAGCGGGGGACAACACGGGGAAACUCGUGCUAAUACCGCAUACGCUCUACGGAGGAAAGCCGGGGACCGCAAGGCCUGGCACUGAUAGAUGAGCCCAAGCCGGAUUAGCUAGUUGGCGGGGUAACGGCCCACCAAGGCGACGAUCCGUAGCUGGUCUGAGAGGACGAUCAGCCACACUGGGACUGAGACACGGCCCAGACUCCUACGGGAGGCAGCAGUGGGGAAUAUUGGACAAUGGGGGAAACCCUGAUCCAGCGACGCCGCGUGGGUGAAGAAGGCCUGCGGGUUGUAAAGCCCUUUCGGUAGGGACGAAAGCUCUCGACCUGUCACGUCGGGAGGUUGACUUAACCUACAAAAGAAGCACCGGCUAACUCUGUGCCAGCAGCCGCGGUAACAC
rnacentral:rRNA from 1 species